AGCGACAGGCUUAACACAUGCAAGUCGAGGGGCAGCACGGUGUAGCAAUACAUUGGUGGCGACCGGCGCACGGGUGAGUAACGCGUAUGCAACCUACCUAUCAGAGGGGAAUAACCCGGCGAAAGUCGGACUAAUACCGCAUAAAACAGGGGUUCCACAUGGAAAUAUUUGUUAAAGAUUUAUCGCUGAUAGAUGGGCAUGCGUUCCAUUAGAUAGUUGGUGAGGUAACGGCUCACCAAGUCUACGAUGGAUAGGGGUUCUGAGAGGAAGGUCCCCCACACUGGUACUGAGACACGGACCAGACUCCUACGGGAGGCAGCAGUGAGGAAUAUUGGUCAAUGGGCGAGAGCCUGAACCAGCCAAGUCGCGUGAAGGAUGAAGGAUCUAUGGUUUGUAAACUUCUUUUAUAUGGGAAUGAAGUGAGGAACGUGUUCCUUUUUGUAUGUACCAUAUGAAUAAGCAUCGGCUAACUCCGUGCCAGCAGCCGCGGUAAUACGGAGGAUGCGAGCGUUAUCCGGAUUUAUUGGGUUUAAAGGGUGCGUAGGUGGUUUUUUAAGUCAGCGGUGAAAGUUUGUGGCUCAACCAUAAAAUUGCCGUUGAAACUGGGGAACUUGAGUAUAUUUGAGGUAGGCGGAAUGCGUGGUGUAGCGGUGAAAUGCAUAGAUAUCACGCAGAACUCCGAUUGCGAAGGCAGCUUACUAAACUAUAACUGACACUGAAGCACGAAAGCGUGGGGAUCAAACAGGAUUAGAUACCCUGGUAGUCCACGCAGUAAACGAUGAUUACUAGCUGUUUGCGAUACACAGUAAGCGGCACAGCGAAAGCGUUAAGUAAUCCACCUGGGGAGUACGCCGGCAACGGUGAAACUCAAAGGAAUUGACGGGGGCCCGCACAAGCGGAGGAACAUGUGGUUUAAUUCGAUGAUACGCGAGGAACCUUACCCGGGUUUGAACGCAUUCGGACCGACUGUGAAAGCAGUCUUUCAGCAAUGACCGUUUGCGAGGUGCUGCAUGGUUGUCGUCAGCUCGUGCCGUGAGGUGUCGGCUUAAGUGCCAUAACGAGCGUAACCCUUAUCACUAGUUACUAACAGGUCAUGCUGAGGACUCUAGUGAGACUGCCAGCGUAAGCUGUGAGGAAGGUGGGGAUGACGUCAAAUCAGCACGGCCCUUACAUCCGGGGCGACACACGUGUUACAAUGGUGGGGACAAAGGGCAGCUACACAGCGAUGUGAUGCUAAUCUCCAAACCCCAUCUCAGUUCGGAUCGAAGUCUGCAACCCGACUUCGUGAAGCUGGAUUCGCUAGUAAUCGCGCAUCAGCCAUGGCGCGGUGAAUACGUUCCCGGGCCUUGUACACACCGCCCGUCAAGCCAUGGGAGUUGGGGGUACCUAAAGUCCGUAACCGCAAGGAUCGGCCUAGGGUAAAACCGAUGACUGGGGCUAAGUCGU
rnacentral:rRNA from 1 species